rnacentral:rRNA from 1 species
CGCGUAGGUAAUCUAUCCUUACAUUUGGGAUAACAUCGGGAAACUGGUGCUAAUACCGAAUGGUCUUCAUUGCUUUGGGGCGAUGGAGUAAAGGUGGCCUCUUCAUGAAGCUACCGUGUAGGGAUGAGCCUGCGUACCAUUAGCUAGUAGGUGGGGUAAUGGCCCACCUAGGCUACGAUGGUUAGCGGGUCUGAGAGGAUGAUCCGCCACACUGGAACUGAAACACGGACCAG